GGGUCCUCCAAGAAGUACACAUUCAUCUGUAGGAGGGGAAAAAGAAGUUAUCCGUCACCAUGAGUACGGACGCUGAGAUGCAGGUCUACGGCAAGGCUGCCAUAUACCUUCGUAAGUCUGAGAAGGAGAGGAUGGAGGCACAAGCCGCACCCUUUGAUUCAAAGAACGCCUGCUAUGUGACAGACAAGGCGGAGCUGUACCUUAAGGGUCUGGUCACUGCCAGGGCCGACGGGAAGUGUACUGUAACAGUCACGAAACCUGACGGCACUAAGGAUGUAAGAAAAGAGUUCAAAGAUGCAGACAUCUAUGAGAUGAACCCCCCUAAGUACGACAAGAUUGAAGACAUGGCCAUGAUGACCUACCUGAAUGAAGCCUCUGUGUUGUAUAACCUCAAAGAGCGUUAUGCAGCAUGGAUGAUCUAUGUAAGAAACCAGCAUAUACAAACACACACACACA